rnacentral:rRNA from 1 species
GACGAACGCUGGCGGCGUACUUAACACAUGCAAGUCGAACGGAAAGGCCCUGCUUUUGUGGGGUGCUCGAGUGGCGAACGGGUGAGUAACACGUGAGUAACCUGCCCUUGACUUUGGGAUAACUUCAGGAAACUGGGGCUAAUACCGGAUAGGAGCUCCUGCUGCAUGGUGGGGGUUGGAAAGUUUCGGCGGUUGGGGAUGGACUCGCGGCUUAUCAGCUUGUUGGUGGGGUAGUGGCUUACCAAGGCUUUGACGGGUAGCCGGCCUGAGAGGGUGACCGGCCACAUUGGGACUGAGAUACGGACCAGACUCUUACGGGAGGCAGCAGUGGGGAAUAUUGCACAAUGGGCGGAAGCCUGAUGCAGCAACGCCGCGUGCGGGAUGACGGCCUUCGGGUUGUAAACCGCUUUCGCCUGUGACGAAGCGUGAGUGACGGUAAUGGGUAAAGAAGCACCGGCUAACUACGUG